UCUGCCCCUCCCCCACUCGUGCUCUGUUUCUCUCUCUCUCAAAAAUAAAUUAAAAAAAAAAUCAGACUCUGGUGCAGGUAGUUUAUCUGGGAGAUGUAGUGACCAUGCAAAUGCACCACUCAGAUCCGAUGCUGCAGGAAGUACAGUUGCAUCAGAAUACACUUCCUGAUCCACCAUCAUGUGCACGUGAAAGCCACGCUUCCCAUGGGCUGCUCCCAGGAAUGCCUGAGCACAGUCAGGCCACUGAAACCGGCCCACGAGUGUGGUAGAUGCGGGACUCCCCUGACAGAUGGCUUUGGCUGGAGAGCCCCUCCUUGGCCUGGCCAAACUUGUCUUGGAACUGCACCGCUGCCCAUGGCUGCCUGCCUGGUUACCCCCUCCAUCCUUCUCCCCUUCUCUCCCCUUUGCAGAACGAGACCCGCCUUCGCCAGCUCCUCCCCUGUUUGCCUUUACAAAUACUUCUCCCAAUAAACUCCUUGCAUGUCUAAUCUCAUCUGGCACCUGCUUCUCGGGGGCACCGAACUAACACAGGAGGUGACCCCAGGAAGUGAUAGAGUAGGCAGUUAGUUAGAGGUGAGCCGGAGACAAGGGCAGUGAUAAGUAGGUUACACAUUAGAAGCUUGGGGGCACAGCAUCCUGACUUUGUGGCUCUCAACAUCCUGGCCUGAUGGCUUCCAGCACCGCGGGAUUGACAGACCAAGAGCUACAGGUGCAGAACACGCUCUCUUCUCUUCACCUCUGCCCUGCGGUAACCCCUAGACUCUUUAUGAUGCAUCUGCAUUGUGGUUUUACCCUCGCCGCCCGGCCCCCCAAUGGAAGAAGGCUACCACGUCGGUUCUGGUACAAACCUUAAAGGGUCAAAAACUCCCCCUCCUGACCAGGGGGAGGAGUCCCCCAAAUGAUUGGAAGCAGCCUCUAUUAGAGACCACCAUGUCACCAUGGCCAUGACCCAAGACCCCUGCAGCCACAGGACCGUUUCCACCUCUGGGCCUGCCCACCCUCCCGUCCUGAGAGCGUACUGUCCUUAACAAACUGCCGUAUGCUAGCUGCUUUCCUCCCGGCUGUCUUUACGGGAACACAGAUCCCUCCGCAAACCUUUUCUUGGGGAAUCCAAUAACCCAGACCUCCCUACACACAGCGCAGACUCUCCUGCCGGCAAGAGAAGCACAAGGGAGGAAACGGGGGAGGUGGGACUGAGGUGGGAGAAACGGCGAUCCACGAGGCACUGGUGAGCCGGUGACCACUGUAGGGGAGUCACCCUGGGAUGUUCUUAGAGACCGCGUAGGGCGCGCUCCAGACCAUCCCAUCAGAGAGCAUCCCAUCAGAGAGCAGGGGCACCCUAGCGUUAAUCCGCUGCUUUCCGUUUCCUGUUGGCGAAGGUUGUCUGAGUGUAUCAGCUCUCUCUCACUGCAAGCUUGAGAGGAGGGUCCUGGGCGCCAGCGGAAGCCUUCAGGCAGAGAACAAGAGAAGCAGGUGCCUGAGCUGGGAACAGCCUGGCACCGCCGUAGCCGAACUCAGGUGGGCGCGGCGUCCGCAGCUUCUGCUACACUCGGGAUGAACACAGCAGCUUGCAAUCCCCGGUAGGAUAACCAUUCCAGAGAACGCUUCUUUCUCAGGAAUUUCAGGCCCAGCCUUCUGAUUGGCCAGGCUCGUGUCACAUGACCACCCAUGAGCCAAUCACUGUGCCUGCGGAAACGGAGUGUCUCGUCACCUUGGGAGGUACCACCCGGCCACGUCGCUGCCUCGCACGUAACAAGAAUUGCGCCGGCGUGCCUCCCUGCAAGAUGGGGGGGCCUCUAACCCCCCCCCCCACCGCCACCGGCUGACGGCUUGGAAGAUGCAGGAAGAUUCUAGAUGGCAACACUACCCGUGUCCACUGAGGAGACAUCCUGCCCCUACGGAGUGGGUCUCCAGCUUUGCUUCCCCCAGAUGUACACAAUUUGCUACGUGCUGGCAAGGAAAGGUGCGAGCUAACGAAUAUGGAAGCUGAUGGCACAUGAUUUUCCCAGGCACCGAGAGCUUCCGUUUAAAGAGACCAGGCUUGGUGUGCAAGAUACCCGUAUGCCGACUAGUGGGGUGCUGUCCCGGUUGGGGCCGUGGCACGGAGUAGGUGUUGGGCGCACACACUGAGACGGGAAAUAUUUUCGGAGCCAGAGUCCAAAUUUGGAAGGACCACCGGGAGCCUCUGCGGCCGCCAGGGAAGGAUUCAUGAGUCAAAGGAGAAGAAGCCGGUGGACUAGAUGUUAGCUCUUCGUAUUUGAACAAGUCGCUUAAGCUGUCUGAUCUUCAGUUUCCUUCAUCUUGAAAAAUCGGAAAGUGGCAUCUACUUGGUGGGUUUUGAGGACUUGCCCAAGGUCAUACAGCCAAGAAGAUGAGCCAGUACAUCCCCACGGUGUUUUCGAGCUGAGAAUCCAAGCCAGGACCUACCUUGCUCACAAAAAGGACAGAUUUCAAGGUGACGACGCGGACAGGACCCCGGUUUCUAGCUCCGACCCAACUCCCACUGUCUGCUCUCCACUGUGUUACCUCUCACGCCCAUUCCGGCUCAAAGUGGCAGUUUUAUUCUAGUUUGGAGGCCGUGGUGAAGUCCUCACGCCUGCCCAAGGUGACAGAACAAAGCCUCGUGUCGUUUCCUCUGUGCAGUAGCCAAUUAAGGACAGAGAGUGCUUUAGGGUGUAUGCACUCAUUCAUUCACUUGACAAAUAUCUAGUGGUGGCAAGUGGUAGAGAUAAAGAGAGGACUAAGACUCCGAGUGGGGGCAGAGAAAGAUCACAUACAAGGUACAGGGGAUUUCCAGCAUCCUUUCCAAGCUAGUUGCUGCAUCAAGGGAAGAGCACGUGUUGGCAAGCGACGACGUUAGAGAAGUAGCCGGAGGCCACAUCGUGGAGGACUUUGCGGGCCUGAGUUGGGUUCCACAGAAGCAAUCCCUAAGACCGGGAUUCAGAUGCCAGUGAUUCCUUAAGAAGUGCUCCUUAUAGAAGCAGCAAUGGAAAAGGAAGCACAUGAAGAAGGAGGAGGAGGAAGAGGAGGGACAGGAGGCGAGGAGGAGGAGGGAGAGGGAGGAGAAGACUUCCCAAUGGAAAACAGCAUUUGCAAACCAUAUAUCUGAUAAAAGAGGUUCAUAUCCAAAAGAUACUUUUUAAAAGGCUCCUAUAACUCAACAGCAAAACAAACACAAAGCGUCUACUUUUAAAAUAAGCCAAAGAGCUGAAUAGACGUCCGUCGAAGGAAGGUAUAUGAAUGGCCAACGUGUGCUUGAAAAGAUGCUCAACAUCACCCACAUUAGAGAAAUGCAGAUCAGAAGCACAGUGAGCUAUCGCAUGCCGGCUACAAUGGCCAUCGUCACAAAGUCAAGAGAUAACCGAUGCCGGUGAGGAUGUGGAGAAGAGGCAACACCGUGCACCACGGGUGGGAAUGGAAGCUGGUCCAGCCACGACGGGAAACAGGAUGGAGGGUCCUCCGAAGGUUACAAAUGCACCUACCACGUGAACCAGCAAUGCCACUUUUGGGUCUAUAGCCAAAGGAGUUGAAAACGGGAUCUCGAAGAGAUAUUUGCACCCCGUGUUCAUUGCAGCGUGACUUUAUAAUCGAGACAGGAUAGCAACAUGAGUGUCCAUCGACAGAGGAAUGAAUGAAGAAGAUGUGCUCUCUCCUCUUGGAUCAUUUGCUUUGGGAAAAGACAGCUGCCACGUCGUGUGAGCAGCCCUAUAGAGAGGCCCAUCUGGCAAGAAACCGAAGCCUCCUGCCAACAGCCAUGUGAGUGAUCUUGGAAGCAGACCCUCCGUCCCCAUAAGACGACUGCAGCCCCUGCUGACAACCCGCCUGCAGCCAGGGUUCGGCCAUGACUAUAACUGUGUAACACACAGACGUGGAUCGAUUACUGAUACAGCCAACACACUUCCAAGGCUCGGAACUACAAUGAGCUUCUGAAGAUGAGGCAGUAACUUCCAGAGCACGGAAGACAGAAAAGAUCCAGCGUUCGAAGGUGGCGAGGUGCAGAAGCGAUCUGUUUUGAAAGCUUAUCCUGCCAAUUACUGGUCAGUGCGUGUGGCAUCCAUCCAUUCGUCCAAUCUCUCUGCCGUUCAAUGCCUUUAC